rnacentral:lncRNA from 1 species
GAAUGAUUCUUUUUCAUUUUCUGCUCAUAGCUCAACAAAAAUAUGGUCAGUUAAGACAAAACCAGAUAAGAGGAAGUUUAUUGUAAUUUGCACUAUUAAAAGUCUAGUUAAUUUUGCAUCAUUGUUUGUGUUCUUAUGUUUAUAUAUUUUCGUUUUAACCUAUAUUUUUUAUUAAAGACUGUAUUUUAUAGAGCAGUGGUUCCCAUCAUUUUUUUUCAUGUACCCCUUGAUUAGGGUUUCUAUUUAUUUAUUUAUUGUUUCUUUUCAUUACCCCCUUUUGCAUUCUUCCACAACUGCCCAUCCCUGUGGAGGAGUCAGUCGGUUUGUGGAGGACAGGAAUUUUCAGGUUCCAUCCAGACCCCAUGAUAAAUAUUUUCAAAUAAUGAGUCCUGAGACUCAGACCUGGGUCGUUCAGAAUGGAAAGCCAAGGUGUUUUCAUGUGGCCAAUUCAGCAGCUCGAUUGAACACUAAAAUGAUGGACUGCUUUCAAUCAAAGUGAUAGUUUUAGCAAUCAAAUUUGGAAAAUCAAAAAUUUGAUUGUCUUUUGUGGUCACCCAUUGGGAAAUUAUUAAAAUAAUUAAUAUUAUAUACAUUAGGCCUCUGACUUACACAAUUUUGACUUAUAUGGUGAGAGAUGCAUAUACACAAGUCUGUUUUUAUUACAUUUCCAUAAAAUGCAGGGUCGCAGAGCCACGGAGUCAGACCUUACAAAUUUUAGGGAGUUGGAGUUGGAUUUUUU